rnacentral:snRNA from 1 species
GUGCUGGCUUUGGCAGCACAUAUACUAUAAUUGGAAUGAUACAGAGAAGAUUAGCAUGGCCCUUGCACAAGGAUGACUCGCAAAUCCGUAAAGCAUUCCAUAUAAAA